rnacentral:tRNA from 1 species
GACACUUUGGCCAAGUGGUUAAGGCGUGUGCCUACUAAGUACAUGGGGUUUCCCUGCAAGUGUUC